ACCGGAUAUGACACUGACACGCAUGUGGAGGUGUGGAAAGUUUUUCGGCGCAGGAUGUGCUCGCGGCCUAUCAGCUUGUUGGUGAGGUAAUGGCUCACCAAGGCUUUGACGGGUAGCCGGCCUGAGAGGGUGACCGGUCACACUGGGACUGAGACACGGCCCAGACUCCUACGGGAGGCAGCAGUGGGGAAUAUUGGACAAUGGGCGGAAGCCUGAUCCAGCAACGCCGCGUGAGGGAUGACGGCCUUCGGGUUGUAAACCUCUUUCAGUACCGACGAAGCGAAAGUGACGGUAGGUACAGAAGAAGGACCGGCCAACUACGUGCCAGCAGCCGCGGUAAUACGUAGGGUCCGAGCGUUGUCCGGAAUUAUUGGGCGUAAAGGGCUCGUAGGCGGUUUGUCGCGUCGGGAGUGAAAACCAUGGGCUUAACUCAUGGCUGGCUUUCGAUACGGGCAGACUAGAGGUAUGCAGGGGAGAAUGGAAUUCCUGGUGUAGCGGUGAAAUGCGCAGAUAUCAGGAGGAACACCGGUGGCGAAGGCGGUUCUCUGGGCAUUACCUGACGCUGAGGAGCGAAAGUGUG
rnacentral:rRNA from 1 species